GGAUGCGAUCAUACCAGCACUAAUGCACCGGAUCCCAUCAGAACUUCGAAGUUGAACGAGCUUGGCGAGGGUAGUACUAGGAUGGGUGACCCCUUGGGAAGUCCUCGUGUUGCAUCCC
rnacentral:rRNA from 1 species